GACGUAGGGUGCGAGCGUUGUCCGGAUUUAUUGGGCGUAAAGAGCGUGUAGGCGGCUUUGCAAGUCCGUUGUGAAAACUCGAGGCUCAACCUCGAGACGCCGGUGGAAACUGCAAAGCUAGAGUCCGGAAGAGGAGAGUGGAAUUCCUGGUGUAGCGGUGAAAUGCGUAGAUAUCAGGAGGAACACCGGUGGUGUAGACGGCUUUCUGGACCGUAACUGACGCUGAGACACGAAAGCGUGGGUAGCAAACAGG
rnacentral:rRNA from 1 species